AUCCUGGGUUAAACAAGUGCUGCCGGAGGCUGCUGUUCUCCGGCGCACGGGGCAUCAACACCAGCUCCUGCCACCCGGAGCGUCCCGCUCGUACCUAGUUAGAAUCAGGCCUGUGGGGAAGAGCCGGGGUCGAUACUGUUCACAACCGCCUGCAACGCCAACCCCCGGGGUCCCACGCCCGGGUCCCCACGGGCGUGCGCGCUCGUGCACAAACAUCCUUACACACACGCAGACGCGCGAAAUGGAAAGGGGUGACUCUAAAACACUCCACGGCGCCGGGCAUCCUUAGAUGGCAGCACUGCGCGGCGUGUGGGUUUCCAUUGUGGCAUUCAUAACUGCUACAAAAAUGCCGCCAUGUCACCGACAUGAGGAAGAGAAAUUCUUCCUCAAUGCCAGAGGCCAGAAGGAAGCUCUACCCAGCAUCUGGGACUCGCCCACAAAACAGCUGUCCGUUGUUGUGCCUUCCUACAAUGAAGAAAAACGGUUGCCUGUGAUGAUGGAUGAAGCCCUGAACUACCUAGAAAAGAGACAG
rnacentral:lncRNA from 1 species